UAUCCUUUUGUUAAUGCAGUCUUCAUCUGGCAGAUACAAGAAUGGACAUGAAGAUCUUGGUCAGUGCUAUUAUAUUCCUUUUGGCUCUCAGUCAAGGUCAGAGCCUGCAGUGUUACCAAUGCGCAUCUUUUAACUCUCAAUAUAAUUGCACAAGCCCUCAAAAGAUUACUUGUUCAGUGCCAAACUCUGCUUGUGGACUGUUCUAC